rnacentral:rRNA from 1 species
GAUGAACGCUAGCUACAGGCUUAACACAUGCAAGUCGAGGGGAAACGACAUCGAAAGCUUGCUUUUGAUGGGCGUCGACCGGCGCACGGGUGAGUAACGCGUAUCCAACCUGCCCACCACUUGGGGAUAACCUUGCGAAAGUAAGACUAAUACCCGAUGAUAUCCCUAGACGACAUCUGAAAGGGAUUAAAGAUUUAUCGGUGAUGGAUGGGGAUGCGUCUGAUUAGCUUGUUGGCGGGGUAACGGCCCACCAAGGCAACGAUCAGUAGGGGUUCUGAGAGGAAGGUCCCCCACAUUGGAACUGAGACACGGUCCAAACUCCUACGGGAGGCAGCAGUGAGGAAUAUUGGUCAAUGGGCGAGAGCCUGAACCAGCCAAGUAGCGUGCAGGAUGACGGCCCUAUGGGUUGUAAAACUGCUUUUAUAAAGGGAAUAAAAGUGAGUCUCGUGAGACUUUUUGCAUGUACCUUAUGAAUAAGGACCGGCUAAUUCCGUGCCAGCAG